UGUUGUUGAAUCGUAUGUCGUGCUGCGCAAGCAAAGAAAUCAACUAACGAGCAGAGGAUUUUUUUGAUUCCACGUUUUGUAAAAUUUGUCAAUAACUUGCAUACCUAUCCAAUUAUAUUGUAGUGUGAGAACUUCGAACAGUACUAAGUGAAUUGUGUUUCAAAGAUGUCGCGUUAUCGGGAAUGGGAUCUCUCAUGCAAAGUCUAUGUUGGAAAUCUUGGAACAAACGCUUCUAAAUAUGAAAUAGAGAAAGUGUUCUCGAAGUACGGAAAUAUCCGAAAUGUGUGGGUGGCAAGAAACCCGCCUGGCUUCGCUUUUGUCGAGUUUGAAGACCCCCGUGAUGCUGAGGAUUCUGUUCGUGGUUUAGAUGGAACACGAUGCUGCGGAACCCGCAUUCGUGUGGAAAUGUCUAAUGGGCGCACCAGAAGAGACAGAAGGUCCAUUUUAUCAACCAACCACCAACACACCGACCUCACCACAUCUCUUCACAACUACGGCUCGUAUAUAAUGACAUCCGCUAACGCCGCUCGCCACCACAGCCCGCUCAGCGGCCGGCUCUCCAAACUACUACGCGCAACUGAAGCCUCAACAUGCCUACAAAUCCUCAUGACAGCCAUUACCUAGUCCCAACGUCCUGUCCCGGAGAAAGUAUGUUCUUAAAGAGCCAUUUAGGACCCUUAUCAUCCCGACAUGCCCUCCUGAUGCUUCACCGACUGCACACACCGUCAACAAGGCACAGCCAGCAUACAACAGCGGUCUACUCUCCCAACAAUAACUCGUGACCUCCCGAUUAGCCACCGCUCCACGGAAGAUUACAAAGCCUCAAUACAAAAAUCCCUUCGGCCUCACAGCAGCCCAACAUCGAACAACGACCUUCUUCAGGCUCACCAAGUCUCGGUCGCGUAGCCGCAGCCCGCGCCGCCGCUCGUACUCGCGCGGCCGCUCAGUGUCGCCGCGUCG
rnacentral:misc_RNA from 1 species